AAUAGCGUAUAUUAACGUUGUUGCAGUUAAAAAGCUCGUAGUUGGAUUUCUGGAGGGAGCGUCGGCCCGUAUUUACGAGUGCGUGACGUCUCUGUCCAUCCUUGCGGGAAGGCACGGCAUUGAUUUGUUGUGUCGGAUCGCAUCAUUUACUGUGAAAAAAUUAGAGUGUUCAAAGCAGGCUUUCGCUUGAAUACAUUAGCAUGGAAUAAUAAGAUAGGACUUUGGUGCUAUUUUGUUGGUUGAGCCUAAAGUAAUGAUUAAUAGGGAUAGUUGGGGGCACCUGUAUUGCGUUGUCAGAGGUGAAAUUCUUGGAUUUACGCAAGACAAACAGCUGCGAAANCGNNNGCCAAGGAUGUUUUCAUNAA
rnacentral:rRNA from 1 species